rnacentral:lncRNA from 1 species
AACCCCUAAACAAGCUCUCAAUAAUGGGUAAGGUUUCAUAACAAGGGACUGGUUAAAUGUCUAUGAAUCUUGUUAAAAGAUAUUGGUUAGAGAGAGAGGCCGUUACAUGGUCAGUUACGGCGACGGGUCACUCGAUAAAUCUGCCUUGUGCUUCCUUCAACAGGACAGACAGAGCACAUGUUCACCGUGAUACUCUAGAAAACACGUGGAAGGCGAAGCAAAGACAUCCAGUUCAUGGGAUCUCCUUCAAAACAGAGACGCACAGGUGAAAUUAAGAGUCCAUUGCUGUCCUCGGGGCCCUGUGAAUCUCUCGGAUUCAGGCAGGAGAAGGUGUCUUACCUGGGGCAAAUGUCUUCUUGGUCCCCAACAGUAGGAAAGUGAUCUCUGUUUCUGUCUUCUUCAGUCAUCCAUCACUUUUACUCCUUGUUAAUGAAUGAAGCUUCACUGCGCCCUUUAUUCGCAGGUCAUUGUCUUGUACCUUUACCACGCAGAUCUGCACAGGUAAGAAGUGAAUAUGCUGAAUAUGCUCAGGCAUUUAAAUAUUAUAAAUGAUUGGCUAUUCAUAUACAGUA